CACGUAGGGUGCGAGCGUUGUCCGGAAUUAUUGGGCGUAAAGAGCUCGUAGGCGGUGUGUCGCGUCGGCCGUGAAAACCUGCAGCUUAACUGUGGGCUUGCGGUCGAUACGGGCAUCACUGGAGUUCGGCAGGGGAGACUGGAAUUCCUGGUGUAGCGGUGAAAUGCGCAGAUAUCAGGAGGAACACCGGUGGCGAAGGCGGUUAGCUGGGGUCGGACUGACGCUGAGGCGCGACAGCGUGGGGAGCAAACAGG
rnacentral:rRNA from 1 species